GGAAGGAUCAUUACCGAGUGAGGGCCCUCUGGGUCCAACCUCCCACCCGUGUUUAUUUUACCUUGUUGCUUCGGCGGGCCCGCCUUAACUGGCCGCCGGGGGGCUUACGCCCCCGGGCCCGCGCCCGCCGAAGACACCCUCGAACUCUGUCUGAAGAUUGUAGUCUGAGUGAAAAUAUAAAUUAUUUAAAACUUUCAACAACGGAUCUCUUGGUUCCGGCAUCGAUGAAGAACGCAGCGAAAUGCGAUACGUAAUGUGAAUUGCAAAUUCAGUGAAUCAUCGAGUCUUUGAACGCACAUUGCGCCCCCUGGUAUUCCGGGGGGCAUGCCUGUCCGAGCGUCAUUGCUGCCCUCAAGCACGGCUUGUGUGUUGGGCCCCGUCCUCCGAUCCCGGGGGACGGGCCCGAAAGGCAGCGGCGGCACCGCGUCCGGUCCUCGAGCGUAUGGGGCUUUGUCACCCGCUCUGUAGGCCCGGCCGGCGCUUGCCGAUCAACCCAAAUUUUUAUCCAGGUUGACCUCGGAUCAGGUAGGGAU
rnacentral:rRNA from 1 species